GAUGAACGCUAGCGGGAGGCCUAACACAUGCAAGCCGAGCGGUAUUAUUUCUUCGGAAAUGAGAGAGCGGCGUACGGGUGCGGAACAGGUGUGCAACCUGCCUUUAUCUAGGGGAUAGCCUUUCGAAAUGAAGAUUAAUACCCUAUAAUAUAUUUUUUGGCAUCGAAAGAUAUUGAAAACUCCGGUGGAAAGAGAUGGGCACGCGCAAGAUUAUCUGGUUGGUGAGGUAACGGCUCACCAAGGCAAUGAUCUUUAGGGGGGCUGAGAGGGUGGUCCCCCACACUGGUACUGAGACACGGACCGGACUGCUACGGGAGGCAGCAGUGAGGAAUAUUGGUCAAUGGGUGCAAGCCUGAACCAGCCAUCCCGCGUGAAGGACGACUGCCCUAUGGGUUGUAAACUUCUUUUGUAUAGGGGUAAACCUACCCUCGUGAGGGUAGCUGAAGGUACUAUACGAAUAAGCACCGGCUAACUCCGUGCCAGCCGCCGCUGUAA
rnacentral:rRNA from 1 species